GAUGAACGCUGGCGGCGUGCCUAAUACAUGCAAGUCGAGCGAACGGACGAGAAGCUUGCUUCUCUGAUGUUAGCGGCGGACGGGUGAGUAACACGUGUAUAACCUACCUAUAAGACUGGGAUAACUUCGGGAAACCGGAGCUAAUACCGGAGAAUAUUUUGAACCGCAUGGUGCAAAAGUGAAAGACGGUCUUUCUGUCACUUAUAGAUGGAUCCGCGCUGCAUUAGCUAGUUGGUAAGGUAACGGCUUACCAAGGCAACGAUGCAUAGCCGACCUGAGAGGGUGAUAGGCCACACUGGAACGGAGACACGGUCCAGACUACUACGGGAGGCAGCAGUAGGGAAUCUUACGCAAUGGGCGAAAGCCUGACGGAGCAACGCCGCGUGAGUGAUGAAGGUCUUCGGAUCGUAAAACUCUGUUAUUAGGGAAGAACAUAUGUGUAAGUAACUGUGCACAUCUUGACGGUACCUAAUCAGAAAGCCACGGCUAACUACGUG
rnacentral:rRNA from 1 species